UAGUUGGUGGAGUGAUUUGUCUGGUUAAUUCCGAUAACGAACGAGACUCUAGCCUACUAAUUAGACUGAGGCAUCCUCGUGCUGCCUCAGCGCUUCCUAGAGGGACAGACGGCGUUUCAGCCGUAUGAGAAAGAGCAAUAACAGGUCUGUGAUGCCCUUAGAUGUCCGGGGCCGCACGCGCGCUACACUGAAGAGAUCAGCGUGUA
rnacentral:ncRNA from 1 species